rnacentral:rRNA from 1 species
AGGACACUCUAUACGGAGUUACAAAAGAAAGUUAUAAAUGAAGCGGUCUGGAAAGGCCCGCCAAAGACGGUAACAGCCCGGUAGUUGAAAUGGCUUUCCCUCCAGAGUGGAUCCUGAGUACGGCGGAACACGUGAAAUUCCGUCGGAAUCCGGGAGGACCAUCUCCCAAGGCUAAAUACUCCCUAGUGACCGAUAGUGAACCAGUACCGUGAGGGAAAGGUGAAAAGCACCCCGGAAGGGGAGUGAAACAGUUCCUGAAACCGUGUGCCUACAAGUAGUUAGAGCCCGUUAAUGGGUGAUAGCGUGCCUUUUGUAGAAUGAACCGGCGAGUUACGAUUUGUUGCAAGGUUAAGCGGAAAAAGCGGAGCCGUAGCGAAAGCGAGUCUGAAUAGGGCGCAUAAGUAACAGGUCGUAGACCCGAAACCAGGUGAUCUACCCAUGUCCAGGAUGAAGGUAAGGUAAUACUUACUGGAGGUCCGAACCCACGCACGUUGAAAAGUGCGGGGAUGAGGUGUGGGUAGCGGAGAAAUUCCAAUCGAACUUGGAGAUAGCUGGUUCUCUCCGAAAUAGCUUUAGGGCUAGCCUCGAGGUAAAGAGUCAUGGAGGUAGAGCACUGUUUGGACUAGGGGCCCUUCUCGGGUUACCGAAUUCAGAUAAACUCCGAAUGCCAUGUACUUAUACUCGGGAGUCAGACUGCGAGUGAUAAGAUCCGUAGUCGAAAGGGAAACAGCCCAGACCACCAGUUAAGGUCCCCAAAUAUAUGUUAAGUGGAAAAGGAUGUGGGGUUGCUUAGACAACCAGGAUGUUGGCUUAGAAGCAGCCACCAUUGAAAGAGUGCGUAAUAGCUCACUGGUCGAGUGACCCCGCGCCGAAAAUGUACCGGGGCUAAACAUAUUACCGAAACUGUGGAUGAACCUCUUUAGAGGUUCGUGGUAGGAGAGCGUUCUAAGGGCGGUGAAGUCAGACCGGAAGGACUGGUGGAGCGCUUAGAAGUGAGAAUGCCGGUAUGAGUAGCGAAAGAAGGGUGAGAAUCCCUUCCACCGAAUAUCUAAGGUUUCCUGAGGAAGGCUCGUCCGCUCAGGGUUAGUCGGGACCUAAGCCGAGGCCGAUAGGCGUAGGCGAUGGACAACAGGUAGAGAUUCCUGUACCAGUGCUAAUUGUUUAACCGAUGGGGUGACACAGAAGGAUAGGGAAUCGCACGAAUGGAAAUGUGCGUCCAAGCAGUGAGUGUGAGAAGUAGGCAAAUCCGCUUCUCGCGAAGCAUGAGCUGUGAUGGGGAAGGAAAUUAAGUACGGAAGUUCCUGAUUUCACGCUGUCAAGAAAAGCCUCUAGGAAGAGUAGUACUGCCCGUACCGCAAACCGACACAGGUAGAUGAGGAGAGAAUCCUAAGGUGAGCGAGAGAACUCUCGUUAAGGAACUCGGCAAAAUGACCCCGUAACUUCGGGAGAAGGGGUGCUCUAUUAGGGUGCAAGCCCGAGAGAGCCGCAGUGAAUAGGCCCAGGCGACUGUUUAGCAAAAACACAGGUCUCUGCAAAACCGUAAGGUGACGUAUAGGGGCUGACGCCUGCCCGGUGCUGGAAGGUUAAGAGGAGUGCUUAGCUUCGGCGAAGGUACGAAUUGAAGCCCCAGUAAACGGCGGCCGUAACUAUAACGGUCCUAAGGUAGCGAAAUUCCUUGUCGGGUAAGUUCCGACCCGCACGAAAGGCGCAACGAUCUGGGCACUGUCUCAACGAGAGACUCGGUGAAAUUAUAGUACCUGUGAAGAUGCAGGUUACCCGCGACAGGACGGAAAGACCCCGUGGAGCUUUACUGCAACCUGAUAUGGAAUGUUUGUACCGCUUGUACAGGAUAGGUAGGAGCCGAAGAGACGUGUGCGCUAGCAUACGAGGAGGCAAUGGUGGGAUACUACCCUGGCUGUAUGACCAUUCUAACCCGCCACGCUUAGCGCGUGGGGAGACAGUGUCAGGUGGGCAGUUUGA